rnacentral:rRNA from 1 species
AGAGUUUGAUCAUGGCUCAGAACGAACGCUGGCGGCGUGGAUAAGACAUGCAAGUCGAGCGCUGAUUAGAGGGUAGCAAUAUUCUCUGGUCGGAGCGGCGCAAGGGUGCGUAACACGUGGGUAAUCUGCCAUGAAGUCUGGAAUAACUUGCUGAAAGGCGAGCUAAUACCGGAUGUGACAACUGGGAGGCCUCUUCUGGUUGUCAAAGCUGGGGACCGUAAGGCCUGGCGCUUCAUGAUGAGCCCGCGGCCUAUCAGCUAGUUGGUAAGGUAACGGCUUACCAAGGCUAAGACGGGUAGCUGGUCUGAGAGGACGACCAGCCACACUGGAACUGAGACACGGUCCAGACACCUACGGGUGGCAGCAGUCGAGAAUUUUUCACAAUGGGCGCAAGCCUGAUGGAGCGACGCCGCGUGGGGGAUGAAUGGCUUCGGCCCGUAAACCCCUGUCAUUUGCGAUCAAACGUUAUUAUUUAAAAGAUGAUGACCUGAUAGUAGCGAAAGAGGAAGGGACGGCUAACUCUGUGCCAGCAGCCGCGGUAAUACAGAGGUCCCAAGCGUUGUUCGGAUUCACUGGGCGUAAAGGGUGCGUAGGUGGCGAGGUAAGUCGGAUGUGAAAGCUCGGAGCUCAACUCCGAAAUGGCAUUGGAAACUACCUUGCUCGAGGGUUGGAGGGGGGACUGGAAUGCUUGGUGUAGCAGUGAAAUGCGUAGAUAUCAAGCGGAACACCAGUGGCGAAGGCGAGUCCCUGGACAACUCCUGACACUGAGGCACGAAAGCUAGGGGAGCAAACAGGAUUAGAUACCCUAGUAGUCC